CCUACGGGGAGCUGCAGUAGGGAAUAUUGCUCAAUGGGGGAAACCCUGAAGCAGCAACGCCGCGUGGAGGAUGAAGGUUUUCGGAUUGUAAACUCCUUUUGUUAGAGAAGAUAAUGACGGUAUCUAACGAAUAAGCACCGGCUAACUCCGUGCCAGCAGCCGCGGUAAUACGGAGGGUGCAAGCGUUACUCGGAAUCACUGGGCGGAAAGAGCGCGUAGGCGGGAUAGCAAGUCAGAUGUGAAAUCCUAUGGCUUAACCAUAGAACUGCAUUUGAAACUGUUAUUCUAGAGUAUGGGAGAGGUAGGUGGAAUUCUUGGUGUAGGGGUAAAAUCCGUAGAGAUCAAGAGGAAUACUCAUUGCGAAGGCGACCUGCUAGAACAUAACUGACGCUGAUGCGCGAAAGCGUGGGGAGCAAACAGGAGUAGAUACCCCUGUAGUC
rnacentral:rRNA from 1 species